ACGCCGAUCCCAAGCACCAUGGAGCCGACGAUUUGGAUCAAGACCUACAUCCCAAGCACCAAGGUGCCUGGUUGAUAUGGAUCGCGAUCCCGAUCCGGAGCUCCAGGGCGCCGAGGAUUUCGAUCACGAUCCCGAUCUGAAGCACCGAGUAGCCGAGGAUAUGGAUCAAGACCCCGGUCCGAAGCGACAAGGAGGCAAGGAUUUGGAUCACCACUCCGAUCAAAGGCACCAAGGCGUCGAGGGAUUGGAUCGAGAUCCCGAUCCCAAUCAUGAUGUUGGCUAUGUAAUUUCCCGUUUUCCACACCGUUCAGGGCAUUUUGGUGGUCGUAUCGGCUUUUAGUUGCUUGCUUGGUGAUAGUGCCAAGGGAGUGGUUGGAAGCUAGGUCGUCCUCUGGAAUGCUUGUUGUAAAGGUGUAUGAGUUGUGUUUGGCUUGUUACGGGUGUUUGUUGGCUGCUUGUGCAGGAACUUUCAUGCGUCCAAGCCUCUUCAGUUGUGCUACAAGGCCUUGUUUGUCUUGCGCAUACGGUGGGUUUCCUGUGUUGCAUACCUAAUCAAGGGCAUCGUAUGGCUUGAUAGAAGUAAAUAUUCGUAAUGCGCCGCUUGCGGCGUUGCACGAACCUCGAAGUGGUCUCUGUGGCCCAUGUUGUCUUUGCUCAUGCAUGGAUGGCAUGGCCCUCGGAGCGUCGCUUGGUCUCUUGGAUACGGAACCUGAUGAUGUGGGCGGUAGGGUCUUGGAUGAUUCUACCUUCGC
rnacentral:misc_RNA from 1 species